CUGAUGUGAAAGCCUUCGGCUUAACCGGAGUAGUGCAUUGGAAACUGGGAGACUUGAGUGCAGAAGAGGAGAGUGGAACUCCAUGUGUAGCGGUGAAAUGCGUAGAUAUAUGGAAGAACACCAGUGGCGAAAGCGGCUCUCUGGUCUGUAACUGACGCUGAGGUUCGAAAGCGUGGGUAGCAAACAGGAUUAGAUACCCUGGUAG
rnacentral:rRNA from 1 species